AUCGAAAUAAAUCUGGAACAGGCUGUUGCUAGUCCUCUCACAGAAGACAUGUGCACGCUUGUCCUCUUUAUUUUUCCAACUGUGCACAUAUUGUAGAUCUGGAUGUUGUUUUUGUUUUGAGGGAAUGGCCAGGUCUAUGUUACAUUAACAAAAACAUGUCUUAGAAUGUUGAGUACUGGGGAAUAUAACAAAUAUACAACUUUCAGCAACGGAUCUCUUGGCUCUCGCAUCGAUGAAGAACGCAGCGAAAUGCGAUAAGUAAUGUGAAUUGCAGAAUUCAGUGAAUCAUCGAAUCUUUGAACGCACCUUGCGCUCCUUGGUAUUCCGAGGAGCAUGCCUGUUUGAGUGUCAUUAAGCUUCUCAACCAUAUCUAUUGCUGGAUGUGGCUUGGAUUUUGGGGGUUUUUUUUUGCAGGCUUCAAAAGAAAGUCGGCUCCUCUGAAAAGCAUUAGUGGUAUUAGAGUACCUUUGGUGUGAUAACUAUCUAUGCCAUUGUGUAUAUGACUACAUACUGCUUCUGAACUUGCGUUUUGCGCAG
rnacentral:rRNA from 1 species